GCAAGUCGAACGAGAAAGUUUCCUUCGGGAAGCGAGUAGAGUGGCGAACGGGUGAGUAACGCGUGGAUAAUCUACCUUCAAAUUUGGGAUAACAUUGCGAAAGCGGUGCUAAUACCGGAUAAUGUCUGUUUAACCUCGGUUAGAAAGAUCAAAGAUGGCCUCUCCUUGGAAGCUAUUGUUUGGAGAUGAGUCCGCGUAUCAUUAGCUUGUUGGUGGGGUAACGGCCUACCAAGGCGACGAUCCGUAGCUGGUCUGAGAGGACGAUC
rnacentral:rRNA from 1 species